GGAGUAUGGACCGUGUCUCAGUUCCAUUGUGGCCGUUCACCCUCUCAGGUCGGCUACACAUCCUCGCCUUGGUGGGCCGUUGCCCCGCCAACUAGCUAAUGCGCCGCAGGUCCAUCCGAAAGCGUCGCAAACGCGACUUUCGUGCGGAGGGGAUGUCCCCUCCGCCGCUAUCCGGUAUUAGCCAAGGUUUCCCCUGGGUAUCCCAGACUUAGGGGCAGGUUACCUACGUGUUACUCACCCGUUCGCCACUCGGCGCAUUGCUGCGCCUCGUUCGACUUGCAUGUAUUAGGCACGCCGCCAGCGUUCAUC
rnacentral:rRNA from 1 species